UUGUUGUUGAAGUUGAAAUAUUACUGCACGAACAUUGGCCACAAUUAAAAGUAAUUUUUAUUAUUUUAUCUUUCCUGCUCACAAAAAAUGGUUUCCGCUCCAAUAUUUUCUCCAAGGUCACGAAUACAUCCAAAAAAAGCAAAACGGCUAGCAUCUUGAAAAUUUUGGGAACCAAAUCCGUCACCGAUCAGCACUGCCAACGACAUAGACCUGAUUUGAUUCUUGUUUUCUUGCACUUUGGGGAUUUCUUUUAAUGUGCGAAAAUUAGUGAUGAUCUUGAACUGUAUGUUCAUUCUCUGUAUGCCUGCUUCAAACAUCUAGUGUUCUCUAUUCUCUUUCUACUUCAAAAUUGCGAUGAAUUUCAUACAAAAAUUGGUCAAGUUAUGAUAUUCCAUGAAUAAUCUCUGCAUUUUAUCUUUAUAGUUGUUGUUAAGUUACUUGGUGGAUUGUGAAGGUUGAUUAUAUUGUUCUAUAAAAAAUUGUUCCACAAUUUUGUCGUUGCAGAGAGAUUUUAAUUGAUCAUAUCCUUUUAGGAAAAUUAGAAAUAUUUUUUAAUGGAGAUAUACAGUGGGACAUAAAUCAAUAUAUUAGUGGAGAAAUACAUAUAGAUGAAUGCAAUUUUAAUUGAAUCUGCCCAAGGAUCUUAGCUUUGCCGAUCAUUACAAAAUUCCUUUUGGUGUGUCUUAUCUUUAUUUUCUUAUUCUGCAACUUUUUUCUUAGUGAUUUUAAACAUUUACUCUUACGUGUUUGUUGAUUCAAAUAUUGCUUUGCUUUUGAGUGAGUGGAGUGUGCUAAUUCAAUCAUUUCAGUUUUCGACUUGAGUGGUCUGUAAAAUUCCAAGCUCUCUUUAUGAUAACGGCUUUGUCGUUAAAGGAAAAUUUUAGAUUAGACUUGUAUUAAUAGCCAUAUAGUAGCAUGUCCUACUAACUUCUACCAUAAAGUCUAAGGCAGAUCUAGGAUUUAAACUUCAUGGAUUCGAUUGUAAUUCGAUCACAUCCAUCAAAUUUACUGUGUUCAGAAUCUAUUAUUAUUCAUAUUUAGUAGAUCUUUCAACACAUAUGCAUAGCGUAGGCCAAAACCUAUGGCUUCAUAUGAAGAAAAGUGGACAUAGACUAUAUACAGGUACCAAAGUAGUGAAGACUUUAUGCUUUCUGCUGUAAUCUGUGAAUAAAAGAAUUAUUACAGAUGUAUAUUCUUUAGAAAGUAAGUGCACAUACAGAGAAGACGAUGUUACUCCAUUUGCAAGCCUUUGAUAAUUAGGAGUGGAGAUAUCUUGUGGAUGUCAAAUUUAUUCGCAGAUCAAGACUUGCAGUUGACAUUCAGCAUAGUUUUACUGGUUAGGAUUUCAGUUGCUUUGUGUAGUUACCAUUUGCAUUUUUGUAGUUGCCAUUUCCAUCGUUCAGUUACUAGUUGACACAAAACUUGCCUGAAUUGUGCGAAUUAACUAGACAUGACUACAAGCCUGCAUCCUAGGCUAUCGUGGUGUUACCGGUAACAUGGAUUAGAGCUGCCGGAAAAAUUUGGAUAUGAAUUUUACGAAGCACUGUUUUGUGGGAGAUAUGGGGAGAGAGCAAUAGAGGUACCAAGAGAGAGUUGGAAUAUGGGCAAACGUAAUCUGAAAAUUAUCUGUUGCGGUCUUCCUUUUAGUAAAAUGAUCUUUAUAUCCAAGAGACCAAGAUUGUUAAUCGUCUGUUUGAAGAGGCAAUAGUGAAUACUUCAUAAAGGUGCAAGUAGGAGGAUCACCAGUUUAUAAGAUUGGAAGGAAGUUUUGCAAAGGUGGUUUUUGACAGGUGUUUUUGGGUCAACGUCUUGCUGGCAAGAACGAAUGUGCUAAUGGUCCCUUGGCUCUGUAGUACUCUUGGAGGUAGCCAUGGAGUGCCAAGAGAGCAUUAUAAAGGAAGGGCAGGAAACUAUUAUGUCAUGGCUAUUGUCAGUCUCAGGACAAGAUGUGUAAAGGGUUGUUUCCCUGGCAGUUGGUGGCCGUAUUACUUGUGAAUUGGUGGAGUCAGUUGUGACAUGGGCAGGCCAGUUGUUGACUUGCAAGAGUCAAGUUUAUUUGUUUGGGUUUCCAAACCAUGUGAUGGUUUUGCAACUUCUUUUCUGGUGUAAUUGACAGAUGCAUCUAUCUUCGGUCGUUGAUUUUCAUGUGUGGAUUCAUCUGGAGGGGAAGGAUUUAAUUUUCAGGAUUUGAAUCUUCUUUUUUAAGAAGCAAUUAUUUAGAAGAUCUGGCAGAAUAAUCAUGUAUCCAUUUAGACCUGUUUAUAUCAUUGCAAGGUAAGUCAUCUCUAAAUUGAGCAGCCAAAACUAAGAAAUAAUUUCCUGGAAUAGAUAACUGGAAAAUUAAACUUUGUCAAUGGAAACAACAUUAAUUCUUAUACAACUUAUAUUGGCCCAGUUUAGCUCAACCAGUAGAUAAUGCUUGCAUGUUAAUGUCCUCCAAUACAUAUUUCAGUUAUGCUUUUGCUCUCUUGAUAGAUUGUCCAUGGGUCCCUCAAUGAACAAGUACAACUUCCUAUCCCCAGGCCCUCGAGUUUACUGUCCUCGAGUAGUGAUGGCCUAAGUUGCUCGGACUGCGGUGUGGGUGUCCGAUAUGGGUGCAGAUCUGGAGGUUGGGUCCUUCAUGAUCUAAAUUUUAAGAUUAGGGAAUACGGAUCUAGGUAUGGAUAUGGGUGCAGGAUUCGGCUAAAAAAUAAUUCGAAUAUCUAAAAAUAGAAUGAUAAGCUAUGCCUAAAUUAUGGUGGACUAUUUGAAAGGAAAGGAAUACACGAACUUUUGAGAGUAAGUUCGAAUAUGUAAUUACUAUCAAGUACAAAUGCAUCUCUUUAAAAUUUUUUGGGUGUAACAUGGCUAUUGCAAAUUAUAUAGACGUCAUGAUAUACUUCUUGAGUUCAUUGCACAAUCAUCAGUGAUGUUGACCUGUAAAUAUCUUUAAAGCACCUUCUGGUUGCUCACUUUUUUAUACAAAAUAUCUUUUAUCGAUGCCAAAAGAUAUGCCUAAAUUAUGGAUUCACCCUAGCUUUUGUUUUGAUUUCAGAAAUCAUUGUAUCUGUCUCGAAUUUCUCUGUCGAUUUUGGUUAAAGUACCCAAAAUCGUUUGGCCAUAUUCGGUACGGAUACCAUACUCACGUCCACACCCAUACCCACGCCGUGUCUACAGGGGUGCAACACCAAUAUUGAAGAGUCUGCACAACUUAAGUGAUGGCAGCUACUGUCAAUUCAGAAUUAGGACCCAGAUUCUCCUUGUUUGUCACAUUCCAGCGAGCAUUUUGAGAAAAUCAUUAUGCUUCGUAAUGUUCAGGCAUCAUAUCGGCCUGAAUCUUUACUGUGUUAUUCUCUGCAAGUUGAAGGCAGUUGAAAUUGUUUGGUUGUCACAUCAUUAGAGCCAAUUGGCAUUCCAUUUCCAGCAACAACUGCUGUUUGCACCUGGUAUAUUAAUACCAAGUACACCAGGCAGUCCUCCAGUAGUAAGAAGAAGAGUGAGGUUGGCACCUGCUUUUCUAAUUCCUUCAUUGUCAUCCUCUGAAUCUGAUUUAUCUCCCUCAAAUCCAUAUUCUUUUGCCUGUUCGUUUCUGGCUGCUCUACUACUUCAUCCUCUUCUUCAUUAAAUUUAAAACCACUACAACCAUAAACAGUCCCAUGCACUAACUCAUCCCUGAUUCACCUUCGCCAUGAAACUAUCAGCUAGAGCUUUCAGGUCAUAUGGAACAACUUACUCCACAAUUGUAAAGCUUUUACAAGGUAGCAAACCUGCUAGUGAAACUAUUGGGAUCGAUGUCGACGUUUAACUGUUUGAUAGACGAUGCUGAAGUAGUACUCCGAUCACUUUUAUUAGUAUAAUAAUUCUUUAAGCUUAACAUCUCCGUGAGUUGGUGGCCGAAAAUGGAAGAAUAUAUAGAAGCUUAUAUGAAGACUGUGAAUCAUGUGACCCAAUUGAUUGAAGGCAUUGGCAUGGCAUGACAUUGACAUGAAGAUGGGUGAAAAAUAUUCUAAGUGUUAGGUGAAUCCAUGAGGCAGAAUUCGGGCUAGGCACACGCACGACACAUGCCAAGAAGGCAUGCACACGGGGCAUGCAUGAGGGUCAUCUUUUAUUAGUACAGUCAGACCUCUCUACAACGGCAUCCGCAUAUAACAGUACCUCUCUAUAACAGCCAAGUUUUUUCGGAACCGAUUUUUUAUGUUAUAUUUUAUUUCUCUAUAACAGCAACAACCAACUUUAUAAUAGUACUCUCUUUGCCAAAUUACCCCCAUAUAACAACUAUCUUUUUUUUUUGGUAAUAUAAUAAUUAACCAUCUUUAUAAAAAUAGAAUAUCUUGAUUACUAAUAAUAAGUGUAGAGAUUUUACUAAAUAUUUGAUCCUUUGAUACAAUAUUUAUGACAAAAAAUAUCAUAUGAAUAUAUAUAUUAUCAUUAUAAGAUUUUCCUUCAUUAUACAAAGUGUGAUUAAGCUUAGAAUUUGGCAAUUAAAAAUGAAAAAUUAGAUUUUAUGCAUUUUUUUGCCUAUAACAGCAAAAUAUUAUUUAAAUGUCAAUGCUGUUAAAUGCGUAUAACAACAAUUCUCUAUAACAACAAAAAAAUUUCGGAUCCAAUGAUGCUGUUAUAGAGAAGUUUGACUGUAUAAUAAGUCUUUAAAUUCAACAUCUCCGUGAGUUGGUGGCUGAAAAUGGAAGAAGAUAUAGAAGCUUAUCCGAAGAUUGUGAAUCGUGUGGUCCAAUUGAUUGAAGGCAUUGGCAUGGCAUGACAUUGACAUGAAGUUGGGUGAAAAAUAUUCUAAGUGUUAGGCGAAGCCAUGAGGCAGAAUUCGGGCUAGGCACAUGCACGACACAUGCCAAGAAGGCAUGCACACGGGACAUGCAUGAGGGUCAUGCACACGACACAAGCGACAAUUACGCAGUGUGCGUUGCAGUUUCGUCAGUUGAGGCGAAUUUCUGAAGGCUUCCCCUCAUGGGUGAAGUGGUUCCCUUAGAAUCAGCUUAAUGCCCUCUUAUGGAACUGCUGGCACAUGCCAAGCACGCCCCUACCCUUGUAAUUACCCUGGCAGGUUUCUUUAUGUAGGCAGAAUUUGGCUAAGGCAUGGAUCAGUUUUGUAAGCCUCCAAUUGUAAUAUCUGAGAGAUAAUAAAAGUUUGGGCAUUUGCCUGU